CCCUUCAGGAUGUGGGAAGAUUUCAUGAAAAUCCUUGCAGACGCUACAACUACAAACAAGCAAUAAGAAACUCUGUGCUACUUAUGCCCAUACUUGAGCAAAACCAGGAAGCAUGCUGGAAAAUAACAAGUCAAGGCUCUGGAUUCAUCUCAGAUGAGGUUCAUUUAUCAGGUCUACCACUGACAAUGAUUGGAG